GGGCUAUCUCUUCAGAGCAAGAUUUAAUAAGGUUCCUCGUUCUGGCGGAUUCGUUUUCUCUGAUUCUCAAUCUGUUGCCACUAGUUAUCGCCUAACUACCAGGAAAUGUAGGCCUAUCUUCUCUAUUCCAGUGGAUGAUACCCAUGAUCCAGAUGAGUCUGAAAAUGAAGAGAGUGACAAGGAUUUACCCAAAGAUGAAGCUGGAGGGGUUGAUAGUGAAAUGCUAAGAAAAAAUCUUGAAAGAAUUGUCGGUACAGAUGAUUCCGCUUUUAGUGGAAUAGACCUUGCAACUCUUAUUAGGGACAAGUAUGGGAGAUCUUAUGAUGUUCAAUUAAUAAAGAAGGAGUUCAUGGGAAGAAAUCUCCUUGCUUUGAAUGUCAUGUGGAGGUACAUGGAGCAGAGAUCCUUUCCACUAACUGAGGAGGAGUAUCUACUCAGGCUUGAUGAUGUGGCAAACACUUUGAAAUGUUGGGGAG
rnacentral:misc_RNA from 1 species